CACGGCACCGUGGCGGCUAGCACAGCCUGCCGCCCGAAACGAGGGAAGGACAGAGGUUGGCGACGAGAGGCAGGGGGGGUGAGAGGACUUGGCCAUGAACAAACCCUACAUGGACAGAAGGGAUCAUGGGAAUGUCCCCAGCUAACAGGGGUGUCCAGUGAAGAAUGACCCAACUGCCUGAUGUUUCCAGGACAACAUCAGGACUGGAGAUCACAGGAGAUGCCUGUGAUUCAAUCACUAGACACAGAUGCAGAAAGAAAUGACUGGGCCCAGGAUGAUGGAGGACCAUGGGGGACGAAGAAUGUCUGAACUCACAACUGUACGUUUCUCUGAAAAGGUGUCUGCUAGAUGAUUUAAAUGCAAACAGCAAAGUUAGUUCAUUUUCCUAACAGCACAGUCUGGGCUGACACAA